AAUCAUUUGUCAACUUUAAUCUGCCUCUUUGUGAAGCUGUGAGCAAAAUGGUAGUUUAUCUUUUUCUGACAUGACAAAAAAGGCCAGGAACAGCAUUUUUUUUUUAAAAAAUAAGUAAAACCGCAAAAGGAAACCGUUUAGAGAUUAUGCUGAUUUUCCUGAGUGCUGUUGGCACCACACUCACCUAGGGAACUACGGAGCAUUCUAUCUAACUUGCGUUUUAUAAAUGAUGGUAAGAUUUUGGUGAGGUGAAGAGUUACUGCUGCCAGCUUCUCAGUAACUAGCAUGCUCCUGUAGCCAUUUUGAGAAUUUUUUGACAAAUGUUGUGGAGUUUCUGAUCAAUUGAAAACCUCAGGAUUUUAGUAUGAGGGAGGAAGGGAUGGAAGAGUGACUGGUCAGCAAAAAUACUGCAACCAAAAUGUCAAAUUGUUUAUUUACUGCCUCUUCAGGAGAGGGCCAAUGAAACUGUCAUGGAUCUGGAGGUGUACGCAGGUGUGAGGUGAGUCAAGGGAAGCAGAUAUCUUCCCUUAAGCAGAAUAGAGAAACAGAUGGGGAGUUACAUCAAUCCAGUAGUUUCUUGAUCAUCAGUACAAACUUUUGGAUGCAUCUGAUGCAUCAAAUAGUUGGAUGCAUCAGCAGGGAGAUGAGGCUGAGUACAAGACGACAGUGGGAAACUUUGUCACAUGGUGUGAGCAGAAUCAUCUGCAGCUUAAUGUGAAAAAGACUAAGGAGCUGGUGGUGGACCUGAGGAGGGCUAAGGCACCGGUGACCCCUGUUUCCAUCCAAGGGGUCAGUGUGGACAUGGUGGAGGAUUACAAAUACCUGGGGAUACAAAUUGACAAUAAACUGGAUUGGUCAAAGAACACUGAGGCUGUCUACAAGAGCCAUCUCUACUUCCUGAGGAGACUGAGGUCCUUUAACAUCUGCCGGACGAUGCUGAGGAUGUUCUAUGAGUCUGCGGUGGCCAGUGCUAUCAUGUUUGCUGUUGUGUGCUGGGGCAGCAGGCUGAGGGUAGCAGACACCAACAGAAUCAACAAACUCAUUUGAGCUCCAGCACUCAGUUGAGUCCUGCACACAGCAUUAAAGGAUGAAAUGGCAUCUGUCUGAAACUGUCAUCGGAACCUAUACCAAGGUUGGAUUUGUGAGAGUUGACAUGGAAAUUUGGAAGUUUCACAAGUUAAGAAAUCGAGUAAAUCCACACAGAAGCUGGAUAUUCACAUGCUCCAGGACAUUUUACUCAUGCUUUCAAAUUGGAUAAUGCUUGAACUCCCUCCUUGUGCAGGCUCAUCAAACUUCAUUUAAACUGCCUCAGCACUGCCCAGCAAAAUUUCACUUUAGGGGGGUUCAGACAGUGGUUCCCCAUUUCUCUGGCACGGAGCGCAGACUUGGCAACUCACUGCACGCAGUUCCUGCUUAUAAAUUAAUCUCAACUGCCGACUCAAUGCCAGGAUCUGAGAUGGUGAAUGUCUUAGCCUUUUUCAGUUUUUGUUGGCUUCUGAGUAAUAGUCUGGGUAACUGCUAAUUUCUUCACACUUUGAAAUAUGACAGACAAAAGAUUAUGAUUAUGAUGAAGAAAGGGGUAGUUGAGAGUGCCAUAUUAAAUGAUCCCGAUACGAUAAGGUGGAAGGAAGUUUACAUGCUUAAGCCAAGGCCAAUGUUAGACCAUGAAAUGAACACAUAAUAACUCUUUUAGUUUGUAAUGUCAUUUGUAAUCUAUGAAAUGAUAACAUGACUUUUAAUCUUUGAGAGUCAACUUACCUGUUUUGAUCUUUCAUGAUUGUUAACUUUAACAUCAUUAUCUUGCAUUCUGUGGAUUAAAAUAUCAGAAGGAUCAAGAACUUUAAAACUGUCAAAGAUGCUUAUUUUUAUUGUACUGGAAAGUAAAUUCUACAAGAUAUUAAAACUAUCUUGCAGGUCAUACAUUCUCAUUAAUAUAUUGUCCAAAAUACUAUGGACAUUGACAAAACCCAGAAUAAAGUUCAGAAAAUUCA